UCCAAGAUGGCUGUCGCCAAGGAUGGUUGUGGCAUGGGAGAAGGGGCUGCAGGGAAUGGGCGGGGGAUCCACCUGGGAAUUCCUGAAGCUGGGUUUGUGGAAGAUGUAGAUUCUUUUAUGAAGCAGCCUGGAAAUGAAACUGCAGAUACAGUACUAAAGAAGCUGGAUGAACAGUACCAGAAAUACAAGUUCAUGGAACUAAAUCUUGCUCAGAAGAAAAGGAGGCUAAAAGGUCAGAUUCCUGAAAUUAAACAGACUUUGGAAAUUCUAAAAUACAUGCAGAAGAAAAAAGAAUCCACCAACUCUCUAGAGACGAGAUUCUUACUGGCAGAUAAAUUGUACUGCAAACCUUUGGUUCCUCCUACUGAUAAAGUGUGCCUGUGGUUGGGGGCUAAUGUAAUGCUUGAGUAUGAUAUUGAUGAAGCUGAGGCAUUAUUGGAAAAGAAUUUAUCGACUGCCACAAAGAAUCUUGAUUCUCUUGAGGAAGACCUUGACUUUCUUCAAGAUCAAUUUACUACUACAGAAGUCAGGCCAGGGUUUAUAAUUGGGAUGUAA